rnacentral:rRNA from 1 species
UAGCCUAACGGCUGAACCAGCAAUUUGGAAGAAUGUAUAGCAAUAGCUGAUUGCACCAACAAACAGUUGAUGCAAAAUUGAUUAUAUCAAAUAAAAUUCUAGGUAGAUUUUUGAUAAUGACAUUGCUUACCUAAGUCUUGACCAAAUUACGUGCCAGCAGUCGCGGUAAUACGUAAAAGACUAGUGUUAUUCAUCUUUAAUUGGUUUAAAGGGUACCUAGACAGCGAAUAAAGCCAUAGUAGGGACUAAUUCGCUAGAGUUACUUAUGAGGGGGUAUUAAAGUACUGCAGGUGUAGAGAUGAAAUUUUGUUAUACCUCUUUUCGUAUGAGAAACUAUGGCACAGGUAUAGGUGAAAGCAUCCCCUUAUGUGAUAACUGACGUUGAGGGACGAAGGCUUUGUGUCGCGAACAGGAUUAGAUACCCCAGUAGUCAAAGCAGAAAAUGAUGAAUGUCAUAGAUUAGAUAUACAAUUUAUUCUAUAAAUGAAAGUGUAAGCAUUCCACCUCAAGAGUAAUUUGGCAACAUUGGAACUGAAAUCAUUAGACCGUUUCUGAAACCAGUAGUGAAGUAUGUUGUUUAAUUUGAUGAUACGCAAAAAACCUUACCACAAUUUGAAUAUUUAUAUAUAUCUUUUAUUGAUUUUUACUUACAUAUAUGUAGAUAAUUAAAAUGAUGCUUAAAUCUCGUUUGUGAGACUGAGUAUGAAAAAAGAUAAUAUAUUUACAAGCGUUGCACGGCUGUCUUCAGUUAAUGUCGUGAGAUUUUGGUUAGUUCCAUUAAAUUAACGUAAACCCUUACUUUAUUUUUAUAUAAAGUAGUUCCCCGCUAUAUUGGAUAUGAUAACAGGGACUAAGACAAGUCAUCAUGGCCUGAAUAUUGUGGGCUAUAGACGUGCCACAUAAACCUUACAAAAGGAUGUGAAAUUGUGAAAUUGAGCUAAUCCUCCAAAAAUGGAUAAAC